GCCCCAGCCGGGUGGAUGAUGUGGUUUAAUUCGAUGCAACGCGAAAAACCUUACCCACCUUUGACAUGUAUGGAAUCCUGAAGAGAUUUGGGAGUGCUCGAAAGAGAGCCAUAACACAGGUGCUGCAUGGCUGUCGUCAGCUCGUGUCGUGAGAUGUUGGGUUAAGUCCCGCAACGAGCGCAACCCUUGCCAUUAGUUGCUACGAAAGGGCACUCUAAUGGGACUGCCGGUGACAAACCGGAGGAAGGUGGGGAUGACGUCAAGUCCUCAUGGCCCUUAUAGGUGGGGCUACACACGUCAUACAAUGGCUGGUACAGAGGGUUGCCAACCCGCGAGGGGGAGCCAAUCCCAUAAAGCCAGUCGUAGUCCGGAUCGCAGUCUGCAACUCGACUGCGUGAAGUCGGAAUCGCUAGUAAUCGCGGAUCAAAAUGUCGCGGUGAAUACGUUCCCGGGUCUUGUACACACCGCCCGUAUUUA
rnacentral:rRNA from 1 species